AUUUAAAGCUAACUUUUUGUUUUUAAAUUUAAAAUUCUACUGUAAGCGUAGUAACAUUCCUCAUACAUAUUUUUUGAAUGCGUAAGAAAGAGAUGAAUUACAGCUAUUCCAUUUUUCAUCAACAAUGGCCGACUUAAUUUGGAAAAAAAAUUUUGAGUUAAGCACCUUGUCUGAUUUGCUUAUUAAAUAUGUUAUUUUAUUUUGAUUUAUAGGAUCAAAAGGCGAUUAUAAAGAAGAGGACGGAAGAAAACUCUCAAUACGCCAUCCGAGCUGGAAAUGUAGUGGGAUCAAUUGUGUCGCUAUUGCAAAGCGUUGUGUGAUAUGUUUUCCAAUGGUGAUUCCAAGGCAAUUUGCAGCAUAUGAUUUGGAAUUUUGCGAAAGAUUUUCCCCAUCAAUCAGCGCAUGUGCACAGUCGCUCAGAGUUUUGGUGAACGUGCUAUACAGAUAAGCAUGGCUGUGCAAUGCUUAAAUUAACUGCUUAUUUAUUUACUUUGUGUACUUUUUUAGUGUUUUUAGAUGACACUCAAUACUUUCCAUUUUGUUGGUGGGUCGUCAAUUAAUGUUUCAUUAGGUGUACGGAGUCUAACGAAAAUCAUUAAUAUCUCCAAAAAAUCAAGAACUCUCUAACAAUAUUCCUUACUGAUUGUGCGGCGCGGGAUGCCGAGAAGGUUAAGAAUAUGCUGUGUCGCUUGAAGCAGACCACCAUGUGGAAAGAAACGGUCAAGGGUACUAUUUAUACAAACUAUCAUCUCGGUGGAUCAAGAAUACGCAUUUCGCCAUGAUUGCUGCGUAUCGAAUUGAAAUAUUCCAAGUGUUGGACAUAGAGGAUGUGCAUAAAUCGAUUUAAAAGGAACUAAAUAUUCUGCUGACGUUCUACGGCUUCUACGUGAACUAUCGUUCUUUGGCCUUGUGUGAGAUUUAUGCAAAAUUUGAUGGAAAGUUCUCAAGCUGAAUUUCAAUAUCACCAUUUUAGUUUUUAAAUCAUAAAAUUUAAGUUACCUUUGUAUUAGUAUUAAGUACUAAAUUGAUGAAUUUAAAAUAUAAUUUUUAAUUUGGG